rnacentral:tRNA from 1 species
GGAGGAGUGCGCCGAAUGGUAAGGCAGCACCCUGCUAAGGUGUAGCCCAUUCAUGGGCUUGUGGGUUCGACUCCCAUCUCCUCCG